AAUCAACGCUGGCGGCGUGCCUCAGACAUGCAAGUCGAACGAUUAAACUUUCCUUCGGGAAAGAUAUAAAGUGGCGCACGGGUGAGUAACACGUAGGUAAUGUACCUUUGGGUGGGGAAUAACCAUCGGAACGAUGGCUAAUACCGCAUAAUGCAGCGGCAUCGCAAGAUGACAGUUGUUAAAGAUUUAUCGCCUAAAGAGCAGCCUGCGGCAGAUUAGGUAGUUGGUAAGGAAUGGCUUACCAAGCCUGCGAUCUGUAACCGACCUGAGAGGGUGGUCGGUCACACUGACACUGAAUAACGGGUCAGACUCCUACGGGAGGCAGCAGUCGGGAAUUUUGGGCAAUGGGGCGAAAGCCUGACCCAGCAACGCCGCGUGAA
rnacentral:rRNA from 1 species